UUCUUAAAGUUCAGUCGGUAGAGCAUGAGACUGUUAAUCUCAGGGUUGUGGGUUUGAGUCCAGUGUUGGGCAA